rnacentral:rRNA from 1 species
CAAAAACAUCGCCUCCUGCAACACAACCAAGUAUAGGAGGUCCAGCCUGCCCAGUGACUACAAGUUCAACGGCCGCGGUAUUUUGACCGUGCAAAGGUAGCGCAAUCACUUGUCUCUUAAAUGGAGACCUGUAUGAAUGGCUAAACGAGGGCUUAACUGUCUCCCCCCUCCAGUCAGUGAAAUUGAUCUAUCCGUGCAGAAGCGGGUAUAAUAAUACAAGACGAGAAGACCCUUUGGAGCUUAAGGUACAAGAAUCAGCCACGUCAAGCAACUUAAUAAAGAGCAAAAACUUUGUGGACAAUGAUUUUUUACCUUCGGUUGGGGCGACCACGGAGGAAAAAAGAGCCUCCAGGUGGACUGGGAAAACAUCCUAAAGCUAAGAGAGACAUCUCUAGGCCGCAGAACAUUUGACCAAUCAUGAUCCGGCUGACAAAGCCGAUCAACGAACCAAGUUACCCUAGGGAUAACAGCGCAAUCCUCUCCCAGAGUCCAUAUCGACGAGGGGGUUUACGACCUCGAU